AUAUUCCUUUUUUUUUUUUUUUGGUCAAGACAUAUUUGCCUUCUUAAUUGUUUGAUUUUGUAGUAUUUUGGAAGUACAAUUUUUUUGCUAAAUAAUCUUUGGCUUACAUAUGCUAUGAACGGCUUCCCUUCAAUCCUAUUAUUUCUCUUGCAUGAGAUGAUGAUUGAUUAAUUCAUUUAUUUUUUCUAUUUGUACUUAUAAGUUUGAGUUUCUAAUUUUCAAGUUUGCUUAAAUGUGCUUCAUAAAUUUAUUACUGUGAACUUUCUGUAUUUAUAGUUUUUAAGUAGUUUCAAAGCCUCUAGUUGGUGGGUUGUUCAUUUGUUGUUACGUCGUCUGUAUCAACACAUGAUGGAAUAAAGUAACUUGGCUUUGAAUCUUAUAAUUUUAACGUCACAACCUGUAAAUGGAAGAUAUAAUUUUGUUUGUAAUUGCUGGUUAUGAUGUGAAGUUUUUGGGUUGACUUGUCUUCACGACAUGUCAUAGUCUCCAAUAUUAUGCUUUGCCUUUACUCUCUUGACGUAUGGAAUUAAGGUUGUGUUGUGGCUUCUUUAUACUCCAAUACUGUGGGUUAUGUUGGAUUUAUCUUCAACCUGUAGGAUUUAGUUCAGAAAAGCUUGGAUGCUGUAACACUGGUCUUGUCUGUACUCAUCGUACUGGAUCUGAGUUGCUUCAGUACAAUAUUAGUGCUUUGUUCAGAUAAAACCAGGCAAAUAGAGUAUUUCGUGAAACAAGUUUAACAUAAUUUGGAAGUUUUUUAGGUGCAAUAAUCCUUUUUGUUUUCUUGUUGUGAUGGAGAGAACUUGAGAAAUGAUGCUCAUCUAUGAGGAAUACAUGACUUGUUUCUUAUUGUGCCAUUUUCAAUAUUUUUGUUUACACGGGCCUGUGUGUUGAUAAUUAAGCAUACACUACUUGUAUUGAAAAGUUUGUUAAUUCUUUUGUUUCCCUACUGUUGCAGCAUGGAAACUUUUGU
rnacentral:misc_RNA from 1 species